AGCGUGGAAGGAGCCUUCGGAUGGGUGAGCCUGGGCGCGUCUGAGGAAGGGCAGGCGGGGGCCGGGCCACCUCCCUGCAGACCCUGGCCGGCUGCUGGGGCCCGGGAGGAGAGCCAGGUCAAGUUCCUGUCUGCUUCGUCUCCGCAGAGCUGAGGAACUGCGUGUGGAGU
rnacentral:sRNA from 1 species